CCAAAGCAUUGGGAUUACAGGGAGAAAAGAAUGGGAACUGUGAGGAAAAGAAUGACAUGAACAAUGGGAAGACCAAGGUCCCAGCACAAGUAGUAGAUGCUGAGGAAAGAAGAAGUAUGUUGUGGAGUACACGAAUCACCUGGAGAGGCUGGUGAAAAGUAGCUCUGAGUCACUAGAUCUGGCCUCUACCCCACCGUGUUCCCAGCGGGUGCAGAUGCUGCUGGUGCCAGGACCACACUGAAUUGCAUAAAUUCGCUAGAAUCAGAAGUCAGUUGUCCUGAUCUCAGAACAAUUUGGUGUGUACAAAGUCCAAGGUUUGAAAACUCAUCAAGAAGUCAGCAUCCUGCAAGAAUCAGCCACCCAUGCCACACUUUCUAUAGUAACUUCUGUUCUGCAUCAGACUACAUCACUCUGGCUUUCUGAGGGCACUAUUCCAGGCCAGUGCUCUGGGAGGAAUUACCCAGAAUCCCUGUAGAAGCCACUACUGAUGUCAGCUACAAGAGGAAGGGAACCCAAGUGGACUUCAGCCAGAACAAAGCUCUGUCACAUGUUGGAAUUUUACUGAACUUGAACAAAUUAUUCUUCAGAAAAAGUAUUUUAAAGUCAAAAGACUCCUAGAUGAUUUCUAGGUCUUUUGCAGCAUUAACUUCCUUUGAAUCAAUGCCUUCAAUGAUUAUUUAAAA
ensembl:lncRNA novel transcript